rnacentral:rRNA from 1 species
GACGAACGCUGGCGGCGUGCAUAACACAUGCAAGUCGAACGGUAAGGCCCUUCGGGGUACACGAGUGGCGAACGGGUGAGUAACACGUGGGUGAUCUGCCCUGCACUCCGGGAUAAGCCUGGGAAACUGGGUCUAAUACCGGAUAGGACCACUGCCUGCAUGGGUGGUGGUGGAAAGCUUUUGCGGUGUGGGAUGGGCCCGCGGCCUAUCAGCUUGUUGGUGGGGUGAUGGCCUACCAAGGCGACGACGGGUAGCCGGCCUGAGAGGGUGACCGGCCACACUGGGACUGAGAUACGGCCCAGACUCCUACGGGAGGCAGCAGUGGGGAAUAUUGCACAAUGGGCGCAAGCCUGAUGCAGCGACGCCGCGUGAGGGAUGACAGCCUUCGGGUUGUAAACCUCUUUCAGCACCGACGAAGCGCAAGUGACGGUAGGUGCAGAAGAAGGACCGGCCAACUACGUGCCAGCCGCCGCCGUAA